GUGCUCAAAGACUCCACCGACCCUGUGGUCUUCGAACCUUUGCUCGAUGAAGUUAAGAACAAGCAAACGGCACUGGAAUGUCUCGUUCGUUUGAUAGAAAGCCGACAGUCUGCUCUCGCUCGCACAACAGCGCCACCACAACCGUUACCUCCACCGGAACCGAGGGACAAUGAAGACACAACAGCUACUACAGGACCUACUGGCCGUAAACGUCACGACGGCUCCGGUCGGAGGACCAACUGCAAGCGCAGAAGAAAAGACACCAACAGGGAACCACGCUCCGUGCCGUUGUCUGUAGAGCCAAGCAGGCAUGCGCCUACACCUCAGGUGACCCUCUACAUCCAGGGCAACGAAAGCACAUCCAGGUACAGAGUGGGAAGCACCGGGGCUGUCGCGUUGACGCCCCUGGAGCUGCCAUCUGGUGGCAGCGUUAGAGACAUACUCUUCUUCACCACUAAUUAAACUGGUUUUACGUAACGAGUUCCAGCCCGAGAGCAGCAAAAGCUUAUAAAUUGUUUUACUAAAAUAUUUUUUUAUUUUAAAUAAGUGGUGUGUGCUAAAUUCUAUUGAUUGGACUAUUUUGGCCAUCGAAGAUAACGUUUAAAACUUUUAUAAAGUAAGCAGCAAUUAUUUAAAAAAUAUUUUAUUAAAUAUAAUUUAAAUUA